rnacentral:rRNA from 2 species
UUGACCUCAAAUCAGGUAGGACUACCCGCUGAACUUAAGCAUAUCAAUAAGCGGAGGAAAAGAAACUAACAAGGAUUCCCCUAGUAACUGCGAGUGAAGCGGGAAGAGCUCAAAUUUGAAAUCUGGCGGUUCCUUGGGCCGUCCGAGUUGUAAUCUAGAGAAGUGUUACCUGUGCUGGACCGUGUACAAGUCUCCUGGAAUGGAGCAUCACAGAGGGUGAGAAUCCCGUCUUUGACAUGGACUGCCUGUGCGACAUGGUGCGCUCUCGAAGAGUCGAGUUGUUUGGGAAUGCAGCUCAAAAUGGGUGGUAAAUGCCAUCUAAAGCUAAAUAUUGGCGAGAGACCGAUAGCGAACAAGUACCGUGAGGGAAAGAUGAAAAGAACUUUGGAAAGAGAGUUAAACAGUACGUGAAAUUGCUGAAAGGGAAACGCUUGAAGUCAGUCACGUCGGCUGGAAAUCAGUCUUGCUUCUGCUUGAUGUACUUUCUGGCUCGACGGGUCAGCAUCAGUUUUGACCGCCGGAUAAAGUCAUUGGGAAUGUGGCAUCUUAGGAUGUGUUAUAGCCCGUUGUCGCAUACGGUGGUCGGGAUUGAGGAACUCAGCACGCCGCGAGGCCGGGUCUUUUGACCACGUUCGUGCUUAGGAUGCUGGCAUAAUGGCUUUAAUCGACCCGUC